AGGGAAUCUUCCGCAAUGGACGAAAGUCUGACGGAGCAACGCCGCGUGAGUGAUGAAGGUUUUCGGAUCGUAAAGCUCUGUUGCCAGGGAAGAACGUCCUGUAGAGUAACUGCUACAGGAGUGACGGUACCUGAGAAGAAAGCCCCGGCUAACUACGUGCCAGCAGCCGCGGUAAUACGUAGGGGGCAAGCGUUGUCCGGAACUAUUGGGCGUAAAGCGCGCGCAGGCGGCUGUUUAUGUCUGGUGGUUAAUCCUGGGGCUCAACCCCGGGUCGCACUGGAAACUGGAUGGCUUGAGUGCAGAAGAGGAGAGUGGAAUUCCACGUGUAGCGGUGAAAUGCGUAGAGAUGUGGAGGAACACCAGUGGCGAAGGCGACUCUCUGGGCUGUAACUGACGCUGAGGCGCGAAAGCGUGGGGAGCAAAC
rnacentral:rRNA from 1 species